AGUGAACGUUGGCGGCGUGGAUUAGACAUGCGAGUCGAGCGAGAACCGUAGCAAUACGGGGACAGCGGCGAAAGGGACAGUAAUAUGUAGGUACCUACCCUCGGGUCCGGGAUAGCUGCGGGAAACUGCAGGUAAUACCGGAUGACAUCUCCGGAUCAAAGGUGUGAUUCCGCCCGGGGAGGGGCCUGCAUCCUAUUAGCUUGUUGGUGGGGUAACGGCCUACCAAGGCGACGAUGGGUAGCGGGUGUGAGAGCAUGACCCGCGUCAUUGGGACUGAGACACUGCCCAGACACCUACGGGUGGCUGCAGUCGAGAAUCUUCGGCAAUGGGGGCAACCCUGACCGAGCGACGCCGCGUGCGGGAUGAAGGCCUUCGGGUUGUAAACCGCUGUCGUAGAGGAGGAAAUGCAGGGGGGUUCUCCCCUCUGUUUGACCUAUUCUAGGAGGAAGGACGGGCUAAGUUCGUGCCAGCCGCCGCCGUAA
rnacentral:rRNA from 1 species